rnacentral:misc_RNA from 1 species
GGACUACUGGGGUUUCUAAUCCUGUUUGAUACCCACACUUUCGUGCAUGAGUGUCAGUAAAAGCCAAGUGAGCUGCCUACGCAAUUGGAGUUCUUGAUAAUAUCUAUGCAUUUCACCGCUACACUAUCAAUUCCGCCCACCUCUACUUUACUCAAGUCUACCAGUUUCAAUGGCACUGCAAUCGUUGAGCGACCGUCUUUCACCACUGACUUAAUAAACCACCUGCGCACCCUUUAAACCCAAUAAAUCCGGACAACGCUUGCACCCUCCGUAUUACCGCGGCUGCUGGCAC